ACUACGCUGGGACUGGGCUGCCCCCAGUGGAGACAGUGAGCUCCCCCGAGGACAUCUACAACGGCGGGGCCAGUGCUUCGGAGCCACUCCCAGAAAAAGAGGGCGAGUCCCCCGAGCCGCCAAGCUCACCGGAACUCCCCGCCCUGAACCAGCAGGAGAUCCAGGCCUUCUACAUGCAGUCUCUUCUCGCCUUGAAGCCUGCAGACAGUGCAAGGAAACUGACAACAGCCACCAGCCCGGACAAUGAACUGAUGUUCUAUGACUCCGCAAGCUCUGGUAGCCAGACCACCAACACAGAACAGCUUGGAUCAAGGUCCGACAUGGCACAGCCUCCACACGAGGACAGGUACUUGGUUUGGGUUGAAAGGCAGCGAUGAUAAAAAUAGACUAAAAUAAGACAAAGUGUUUAAAGACGUUUAUCCUACAUCCAUGUUGUAACUUGUCCUUCAUAUUAGAGAACCUUUGGCUAUUAAGUUAAAUACACAGUUUCAGGGAGGG